AAGGAUCAUUAAUGAAUUUUAGGACGUUCUUUUUAGAAGUCCGACCCUUUCAUUUUCUUACACCGUGCACACACUUCUUUUUUACACACACUUUUAACACCUUAGUAUAAGAAUGUAAUAGUCUCUUAAUUGAGCAUAAAUAAAAACAAAACUUUCAGCAACGGAUCUCUUGGCUCUCGCAUCGAUGAAGAACGCAGCGAAUUGCGAUAAGUAAUGUGAAUUGCAGAAUUCAGUGAAUCAUCGAAUCUUUGAACGCACCUUGCACUCUUUGGUAUUCCGAAGAGUAUGUCUGUUUGAGUGUCAUGAAACUCUCAACCCCCCUAUUUUGUAAUGAGAUGGGCGUGGGCUUGGAUUAUGGUUGUCUGUUGGCGUAAUUGCCGGCUCAACUGAAAUACACGAGCAACCCUACUGAAAUAAACGGUUUGACUUGGCGUAAUAAUUAUUUCGCUAAGGACGUUUUCUUCAAUUAUAAGAGGUGCUUCUAAUUCGCUUCUAAUAGCAUUUAAGCUUUAGACCUCAAAUCAGUCAGGACUACCCGCUG
rnacentral:rRNA from 1 species